rnacentral:rRNA from 1 species
AAGAAACCAACAGGGAUUGCCUCAGUAACGGCGAGUGAAGCGGCAAAAGCUCAGAUUUGAAAGCUAGCAUCUUUGAUGUUCGCAUUGUAAUCUGUAGAGGAGUGUUCGAGCAUAGCUUUGACCCAAGUUCUUUGGAACAGGACGUCAUGGAGGGUGAGAAUCCCGUUCAUGGUUGUUGCCUUAUGCUUAUGUGAACCUCCUUCAAUGAGUCGAGUUGUUUGGGAAUGCAGCUCUAAAUGGGUGGUAUAUUUCAUCUAAAGCUAAAUAUCAGCAGGAGACCGAUAGUGCACAAGUAGAGUGAUCGAAAGAUGAAAAGAACUUUGGAAAGAGAGUCAAACAGUACGUGAAAUUGUUGAAAGGGAAGCACUUACACCCAGACUUGCUUACAGUUGAUCAACUAUCAUUUUUGAUGGUGCACUCAAUUGUGAGCAGGCCAGUAUCAGUUAGAGUAGUGGGGCAAAGGUGUUGAGAAUGUAGCUCCUUCGGGAGUGUUAUAACUCUUCAUGUCAUGUCACUUGCUCUGACUGAGGUUCGCACUUUGGUGAGGAUGCUGGCAUAAUGGGUGCAAGUGACCCGUCUUGAAACACGGACCAAGGAGUCUAACAGUUGUGCGAGUGUUUGGGUAGAAAACCCUUAUGCGUAAUGAAAGUGAAUGGAGGUGAGAACCGCAAGGUGCAUCAUCGACCGAUCCUGAUGUCUUCAGAUGGAUUUGAGUAAGAGCAUAGCUGUUGGGACCCGAAAGAUGGUGAACUAUGCCUGAAUAGGGUGAAGCCAGAGGAAACUCUGGUGGAGGCUCGCAGCGGUUCUGACGUGCAAAUCGAUCGUCAAAUUUGGGUAUAGGGGCGAAAGACUAAUCGAACAUCUAGUAGCUGGUUCGGCGAGUUUUCCCC